GCCACCAUGUGUGGGGAGAACCGACUUGAGACCAGGCUGCAUAUCAAGGAGAAACAAGUGAGAACAGAGAGGCAAGGGCUGUGAGCCACCUAAAUGGUGGUCACCUGCAGAAUUAGGUGGUCAGUUUUGGGGGGACACCCAAGGAGGCUAUUCCCUUCCCUAACACACACAGGGUACCCGAGCCUGGUGCUGGGUGCAGGCAGAAUGAAAAACACAGAAGGCAUGAAGGUCAGAAGGCAUGCAUGGGCUACUGUAGGACUACAGGUCGUCUGUCACUGGUGGUUCCAUUGUCAGGUAGAGCCACCUGUGAGAAAUCCCUGUUUCCUUUCCUGGCAUUACUAUGGAAGAUACACAUUUCCUCCUAGUCUCUGGCUUCAGUGUGUCAUGUUCAAGAUGACUCUGUCCCAUAGAGUCUGGAGUUUGAUGACCACGGGCCAUGAGUCAGGACUGCACAGCCUCAGUGGACAACCUCAGUACAAGAUGGAGAAGCCACCACCGACUUGCUCAGCAAGGAAUACACCAUGCGAAACAAAGCCAAACCCUUCCAGCAAGCUAGGUAGGGCCAGGACCUUCUCAGCCUAGCUUGCUUUAGAGGUGUAAAUGGAAAUAAUAAUGACACCCAGCCCCAACCCCAUUACGAUGGAUUGUGACUCACUUAAGACUUCCUUGACAGACUCCACAUGACUCACCAAAUCUCUGCAAAUGAGGAAACUGAGGCAGAGAGAUGACGUAAUUCGCCUGAAGCUGCGAGAAGAGAAGGAAGCAAAGCCGGGAUCAGAACCUUCAGGUUUCCACAGCAUCCACGACCAGUGCACCUCAAGGCAGCUCCCUCCUCUCUGUUCUUGGGAGUUUGGAUAAGUUGCUGGACUCUAGAGCAACAUGUACCAUCCAUCAGAUCAUGCUUUCCUGCCUCUGUUCCCCUGCUGGUUUGGGAUCUGAUAUCCAGACCUCUCAUCGCCAUGAGCAGUCGGUUUACAUGAGGAAAAAGGCCAAGAGCCAAGAGUGUCCUACAGUGAAGGAGUUUCAAAAAUCGCCAUGGAACCCUAAGGCAGUGAGGAAGCCCUCAUCUCCUGUCUAUAAAGUGGACAGGUUGAGACAGGUGAAGAUCCACUAUGACUCUGGGACUCGCUAGCAAGAUAGUCACCAGAUAGCCUGGCAGGCAUCUGCUGAGCCUUGCUUUACUUCCUGGAAGACGGAAUGCCAGGGUUAGAUUCCAGCCUCAUCUUUUACAUGCUUUGUGCUUCAGUGCUGUGUCAUGAGGAGGCGAGGAGCCCUGCUGCAACUCCGAUGCUCCUGUCUCCCUCUCCCCUUUUGCCCAAAGCCCAGGGUUGCCACAGCUGUGCAGAGCAGCAGCCAUUGCCCACAUUCAAAUGGAUGCUUCCCUGAAACAGCUGGUAAAGAGGAGCCUCCUUAACUGCAGUCUUGCCGCUACAGGGAGAAGAGGAGGUGUUCUGAAUGAGCACCAACUGGACAGAAAGGACCUCUUGUUCAUAGGAAGUGGAGAAGGAUUUGAAGCAGGUGGCCAGGAAGAACAGGGUUAAUGGUCGGGGCCAUGUGCCUUCAAUCAAGCAUUCCAGGUGGUGUGUGCUUUUGUGUGGAGGUGGACUGAAAGGUGAGGAGGGUGUCUAAGACAUAACCUUUGUUAACCCCUAACUGUGCCCACACCGGGUGUGAGGGUUAAUCUUCAUUGUCAAUUUGACUGAAUUUACAAUCACCAUGGAAACACCCUCCAGGUGUGUCUGUAAGAGUGUUUCCAGAAAGAUUGAACUGAGGAGGGGGAGACUCACCCUGAAUGUGGGAGGCACCAUCCAACGGGCAGGAUCCCCAUACUGAACAAAAAGGAGAAAAUGAGCUGAGCACCAGCAUCCAUCACUCUCUGCUUCCUGACAGUGGCUUUAACAGCCGACUCACACUCCUGCCACCGGGACUGCCCCACCAGCUAGCCAGUCCCACCAAACUGGGAGCCAGAACAAACCCUUCCUCCAUUAAGGCAGAUACUUUAGCACAGCCAAGAGAAACGUAAGACACCAAGGAGACAGACUCUGGAAAGGGAAGGAGCCACAGACAGGGCCCAGGAAGCUAAGGCAGACUCACCAAGUGCGCUGGAGAUGGCGAUCUUGUGUCCUUGACUGUAGCACUGGAGGGGACAUCGAGGAGGGGCCAUUUCAUCUGCAGGUACUGCACAGGGGACAGAAAACAUGAAGUGGUGAGAUGAACUCUCUCAAGCUCUCGAGGAGGUCACCAGCUAUACGGGAGGCCUACAGCUGUAAGCCCACAGGCCCUGGGCAUGGUCAAUCACCUCCACUGCCACAUGGUUCUAACAUGGCCCAGCCUACAUUUAUAGUUUACUCCACUACCGCCAUCCAUCACCAUGGCCAGGGCCAAGACAUUAAACAGCUCAGGUAAAGUAGUAAGUGGGGAGGGAAUGGAUGCACUCCCACAUGACCAUCAUCUUCAAAGAGGCUGUCGUGGGGGUUCAAGUCUCCUUUACUCCCCCCACCCCCACCACACCCUACCCCUGUGUAGCCAGGCAGAUCAUCUAAGAACAGAUU